UUUAAGAAGGUGUCUAAGGAUGUAU
rnacentral:piRNA from 1 species